rnacentral:rRNA from 1 species
CAGCAGCCGCGGUAAUACGUAGGGCGCGAGCGUUGUCCGGAAUUAUUGGGCGUAAAGCGUGCGCAGGCGGUUAUAUAAGACAGAUGUGAAAUCCCCGGGCUCAACCUGGGAACUGCAUUUGUGACUGUAUAGCUAGAGUACGGCAGAGGGGGAUGGAAUUCCGCGUGUAGCAGUGAAAUGCGUAGAUAUGCGGAGGAACACCGAUGGCGAAGGCAAUCCCCUGGGCCUGUACUGACGCUCAUGCACGAAAGCGUGGGGAGCAAACAGGAUUAGAUACCCCCGUAGUCCCUGUCUCUUAUAC